rnacentral:rRNA from 1 species
AGGAUGAACGCUGGCGGCGUGCCUAAUACAUGCAAGUCGAGCGAACAGAUAAGGAGCUUGCUCCUUUGACGUUAGCGGCGGACGGGUGAGUAACACGUGGGUAACCUACCUAUAAGACUGGAAUAACUCCGGGAAACCGGGGCUAAUGCCGGAUAACAUAUAGAACCGCAUGGUUCUAUAGUGAAAGAUGGUUUUGCUAUCACUUAUAGAUGGACCCGCGCCGUAUUAGCUAGUUGGUAAGGUAAUGGCUUACCAAGGCGACGAUACGUAGCCGACCUGAGAGGGUGAUCGGCCACACUGGAACUGAGACACGGUCCAGACUCCUACGGGAGGCAGCAGUAGGGAAUCUUCCGCAAUGGGCGAAAGCCUGACGGAGCAACGCCGCGUGAGUGAUGAAGGGUUUCGGCUCGUAAAACUCUGUUAUUAGGGAAGAACAUAUGUGUAAGUAACUGUGCACAUCUUGACGGUACCUAAUCAGAAAGCCACGGCUAACUACGUGC